rnacentral:rRNA from 1 species
CAGCCGCCACGGUAAUACGUAGGUGGCAAGCGUUGUCCGGAAUUAUUGGGCGUAAAGGGCUCGCAGGCGGUUUCUUAAGUCUGAUGUGAAAGCCCCCGGCUCAACCGGGGAGGGUCAUUGGAAACUGGGAAACUUGAGUGCAGAAGAGGAGAGUGGAAUUCCACGUGUAGCGGUGAAAUGCGUAGAGAUGUGGAGGAACACCAGUGGCGAAGGCGACUCUCUGGUCUGUAACUGACGCUGAGGAGCGAAAGCGUGGGGAGCGAGCAGGAUUAGAUACCCGAGUAGUCCCUGUCUCUUAUAC